rnacentral:lncRNA from 1 species
GUAUAUCUAAAACUUUUCUAUACAGCACGCAAUUCUACUAUAGAAACUGUAGAAUUAAAAAUCCCAACACCUCCUACAAUAGUGAAUACACCAGUAGCACUUUUGAUAGCAAACUUGGAUCCACUAAAAUUGCUUUGAUCCCACACAUUACCAUUAAAAUUGAUUUUGAAGAAAUAAGGGGGGAGGGGGGGUGGUGGCUCCCAAGAAUAAUAAAUUAGUUGAAAAAAUAUAGAGACCGUAAGAGGAGAGUCAUAGAUUGCCCUUGCUAUCAUAAAUACCUUUGCAACCUCCUGUUGAAGGAAUUUAUGAGCUUAAGAUAAAUAUUUUUUAAAAAAUUAAUCUAGCACCUUGUGUAGAUUUUUGGAACAUGUGAUCAUUCCUUGCCAAUAGAUAUAUAGGCAAUAUAAGUUAGAGUUGCUUCUAUCCUUUUAUUCUUGGUGAAAAAUUUUCUUUAACAACUUGUAGAAACUCAUCAAGCAUCGGAUAUGAAAGAAUAGAUAAAUAUUGAAAAAAAGCUUAUCUCCAUACAUACAAUGCAAGCGUACAAUAAAAAAAAUAAUAUGAGAUACAGAUUCCUCCAUGUCCGGGCA